GAUGAACGCUGGCGGCGUGCCUAAUACAUGCAAGUCGAGCGAACGGACGCUAAUCUUGCUUCUCUGAUGUUAGCGGCGGGCGUGUGAGUCACGCGUGUAUCCCCUCCCUGUCAUACUGGUAUCACUUCGAGAAACCGGCUCUAAUACGGUAUAAUCUUUUGAACCACAUGGGUCAAAGGUGAAAUACGGUCUUGCUGUCUCUUCUCGAUGGAUCCGCGCUGCAUUAGCUAGUUGGUAAGGUAACGGCUUACCAAGGCAACUAUGCCUAGCCGACCUGAGAGGGUGAUCGGCCACACUGGAAGUGAGACACGGACAAGACGCCUGAGGGAGGCAGCAGUAGGGAAUCUUCGGCAAUGGGCGAAAGCCUGACGGAGCAACGCCGCGUGAGUGAUGAAGGUCUUCGGAGCGUAAAACUCUGUUAUGAGGGAAGAACAGAUGUGUAAGUAAAUGUGCACAUCGUGACGGUAACGAAUCAGAAAGCAACGGCUAACUACGUG
rnacentral:rRNA from 1 species